GCCGGAGGGUGCGAUCGUUAUUCGGAAUCAUUGGGCGUAAAGAGCGUGUAGGCGGCCGGUUAAGUCAGGUGUGAAAGCCCGGGGCUCAACCUCGGAAGUGCACUUGAAACUGGUCGGCUUGAGUUCGGGAGAGGGAAGCGGAAUUCCUGGUGUAGAGGUGAAAUUCGUAGAUAUCAGGAGGAACACCGGUGGCGAAGGCGGCUUCCUGGACCGAAACUGACGCUGAGACGCGAAAGCGUGGGGAGCAAACAGG
rnacentral:rRNA from 1 species